GACGUAGGUGGCGAACGUUAUCCGGAUUUACUGGGCGUAAAGGGCGCGUAGGCGGCGUAACAAGUCACUUGUGAAAUCUCCGGGCUUAACCCGGAGCGGCCAAGUGAUACUGUUGUGCUAGAGUGCGGAAGGGGCUACUGGAAUUCUCGGUGUAGCGGUGAAAUGCGUAGAUAUCGAGAGGAACACCUGCGGCGAAGGCGGGUAGCUGGGCCGACACUGACGCUGAGGCGCGAAAGCCAGGGGAGCGAACGGG
rnacentral:rRNA from 1 species